rnacentral:misc_RNA from 1 species
UAUUAAAAUUUUCAAGAGAAGAUUUUGAUACCAAAAGCGAUCAGAGGUUUGUGCCACCUUAAAACGCACAACAAAAAGCUUUCGUACCCUCUUUUCAAGAGUCAAUCCGCAUUCGAGAUACCUUGAAAGAGUACUUUUCUUUCCCUCUUUUCUUAAUUGCUACUUACGUUUUCAAAAUCACUUUUUCUCUCUUAAGCUACACAAGUUUAACUAAAAGCCUAGAACGAACUUUUUAUUGGACGCAUUAAACUACAAUAUGAAGUUCUUUGCUGGGCAAACUGUUAUGGAUGUGCUGCAACAUGUUUCCUCUCCCACCACCAAUUUAAGGUUGUUAUCUUAUUGCAAUCUUAAAAAGGAAGAGGAUGGUAAGAUGAUGCUGGCUAUUAAGGAGCAGAGGCACCGACGGUUGUUGACACUGUCAUAUGGUGCUAUGUGUUUUCAAUUCUCAAAUUCAGUAGGGGAUGAGGGCAUAGAAGUGGAUGAUGAUGAGUUGAUGUUUGAAAUAUUUGAUGCAUUGCUGCGCACAAAGAUUUCAAACUCAAAGGGCAUGACGCACUUAUACAGCUGGAUGCGUGGAGUUUAUCUCAGCACAUUCAAAGUAGAGGUGCAGUGUGAUGAUUACAACUCAAAUCUGCUGGAGAAGGAUUUGGCUGGAGAAGCUCAGGGUCUUUCACAGUUCGUUUCAGGACUUGCUGACUGGAUUCCCAGUCGUGUAAAGACCUUGGCAGGAUAUGCCGCUGAGGGCAUAAUUGAGGCCUUUAAGAAGCACUUCGACAAAUUGCUUGUUGAGUACUGUCCUAUGGCCGUGGCUGCGUGUAGUUGGAUAACUACAGUAUGGACCACUAUCAAAGAGUGGGUCCAAUCUGCGAUGGAUGCUAUGUCGUGGAUUAUGGCUGGAUGCACUGAACUCAUUUCUUGGGGAAUGUGUGUCAUUGCAGGUUCAUGUGCUUUAUCGUUAUUGGAAAAGGCAUUGGUAGCUAUGGGUUUGAUUUCUUCUUCCUUUGAUUUAGCUGGUAUCUUUGUACGCUCUGCGGUUGUUGGAGCCUUUUGUUUGACGGUUGUCAACAAGAGGAGCCGCAAUUGCGCUGAGUUGUUACAACUAGUUUCAUUGGCGGUGGGAGCAGUUUCAAGUGCAACAUCAUCUUGUUUCCAGUCUCCUGUAGGGCAGGCAACAGAUGUGAGCGCUGAGAGUCAAUCAGGUGGAGUUGAGAUGCUAGAGUCACUUGCUAAGAACUUGACCAAUUUCUGUGAUGGCACUCUGGUAUCUAUCGGAAAGACUUGCAACGCUGUAAAUUCGAUCAAUACGGCUGCAGGUACCAUCAAAAAUCUGGUAGGUAGACUCUUGUCUAUGCUAAGUAAUUUUGCAUACAAACUACUAGGUUUAGAAUCCACAUUCUUGCGAGACGCUUCCGUGGUUUUUUCUGAAAACGUUGAUGGGUGGCUAAAGCAAAUAUCUUGGUGCCAAGAUCAAUUUCUUGCCAAGGCAUACAUCAACCAGGAUGAACUUAUGGUGUUGCGAUCUCUCAUUACCAGAGGUGAAGUUAUGCAAAGGGAGAUGAUCAUGGGUGGUAUGAAAGUUUCACCUACAGUUUGUGGUUUGAUCAAUAAAGGAUGCACGGAUCUCGCCAAAUUAAUGGCAGGGGCUGUGAUGCAUGGAACGAGUGGUACUCGGAAAAUACCAUUUGUUGUUUAUGCACAUGGGGCUUCUAGAGUUGGUAAAACAAUGGUGAUCAACAGACUCAUUGAAGAUUUUCGCAAAGAGUUGGAACUUGGAGAGGACUGUGUGUAUCCACGAAAUGUGGUAGAUGACUACUGGAGUGGGUACAAAAGACAACCUAUUGUUGUCAUUGAUGAUUUUGGUGCUGUGUCUUCAGAUCCUUCUGCAGAAGCUCAAUUAAUUCCAUUGAUCUCUAGUGCUCCCUAUCCCCUUAACAUGGCUGAUCUCUCUGAGAAGGGAAUGCACUUUGAUUCAGCUAUCGUCAUGUGCUCAUCCAAUUUCAUUGAGUGUUCACCAGAAAGCAAGGUGCGUGACGAAAUGGCAUUCAGAAACAGACGACAUGUGCUCUUCACUGUCUCACUUGACCCUAAUAUACCAUAUGAUGGUGAUGAUAUCACAAAGAAUCAAAUAUAUGAAAUCAAAACUUGGUUUCAUGAUUCGUAUCAUGUUGAAGCAACUUUCACAUCAUAUGGGGACUUGCUGGCAUAUUGCAAAAACAAGUGGGUGGAGCACAAUACUGAGCAAGAGGCCAACUUGAAGCAACUUGGAGUUAAAAAGGAGAGCGUUGCAUUUCAGCAGUUUCGUUCCAUUCUUGAUUUGGCAGUCUUUGUCAAUCAAGAUGCGGAGAAUUUCAAGCAAAGGCUGGAGACGCCAGAUGGUAGGUGCCACUUUGUGUCAUGUUAUGAUAAGAGUGGUAUACUCAGGCACUAUACUAUUGAUGCAACUGGAGAUGUGCAAGAAAUGGAAAAGGUUGAUUCCUCUCUAGAUGACAUCCUAUUGGAAAAAACCAACAAAAUGGUCUUAGCUGCAUAUAAGAUGAUUAAGUACCACAAGGACACCAAUCUGGUCAUUAAAACCCAGCUUGCAGAUUUGGUGGAUCCCACAAAGUAUACUGCAGAUUUCCAGUUUGACGGUGUUAUAGGAUCACCACUUUUCAGCAGCCAAGUAAUGCCAAGUGUCAAGGCAUUACCACUGUGGCAAAGGAUGGUACUGUACACUGUUGGGCAGAAUCUGGGAAGAACUCAUUCUAGUUGGUAUGAGGGCAUCAAGGACAAGUGCAUGCUUGCACUAUCAAAAGCAUACUCAACUGAGAUCAAGGAUUGGCCUGUAGCACUCAAAAUUGUUGUUGGAGUGAUACUGGCUACUGUAGCAGGUAAGGCAUUUUGGAGGUUCUAUGCCUCAAUGGCAGAUGCAGGCAAUGGUGGACACUUUGUGGGAGCCGUUGCUUCCGCAUUUGCAGGAAGUCAAGCGGUUGUUGCACAGAGUAGGAAGCCCAACAGGUUUGAUGUGGCUCAGUACAGGUACCGAAACAUACCUCUAAGGAAGAGAAAUUGGGCAGAAGGGCAAAUGAGUCUGGAUCAGUCCACAAUGCUCAUAAUGGAAAAGUGCAAGGCCAAUUUCGUCUUUAGCAACAUUAGCUGUCAGAUAGUUAUGUUGCCUGGGCGACAAUUCUUGUGCUACAAACAUGUGUUUGCUAGUCUCAAUAGUCCAAUGUAUGUGGAUAUUUAUACUGCCAACAAGAAGUAUAAACUCUAUUACAAACCUCAGAAUAGGGUAUACUUUGAGACUGAUAGUGAGAUCAUGCUAUACAAGGAUGCCAGUUUGGAAGACAUACCUGCCAGCUGCUGGGAUCUUUUUUGUUUUGAUGCGGAAAAAAGUUUGCCACGAGGUAGUUUCCCAGCAGAAAUCCUCUCGUGCAAACUAGAUCGGACAACGAAUCAACAUAUCCCGGAAUGGGCCGACAUCUCAGCUCGUACUGUCAAUCAAAAACUGGACGUGGAAUUUGGGGAGUACCAAACCAUCUUUUAUUCCUAUCUCCAGUAUGAUGUAUCCACAAAAGCUGAAGAUUGUGGUUCCCUAAUAAUAGCAACCAUUGAUGGUAGGAAAAAGAUAAUAGGGAUCCACACUGCUGGACGGGCAAAUAGGAGUGGUUUUGCAAGUUAUAUGCCGCAGGUAGAAAUACCAGUUCAAGCACAAGCAGCGGAAAAGUUCUUUGAUUUUCUUGAGAAAGAACAACAUGUUACUGAGGGCAUUGGAAAGGUGGGAAAUCUCAAGAAAGGAGUCUGGGUUCCAUUACCCACUAAGACCAAUCUUGUGGAAACACCAAAAGAGUGGCAUCUGGGCACUGAGAAAACAAAAGAACCAAGUAUUCUCAGCAGUACGGAUUUAAGGCUCGGUGAUAAGCAGUAUGAUCCCUUUGUUGGAGGAAUACAGAAGUACGCCGAACCAAUGGGAAUUCUAGAUGAUGAGGUGCUCCGGCACGUGGCAACAGACAUAGUUGAAGAAUGGUUUGACUGUGUAGACCCUCAAGAAGAUACUUUUGAGGAAGUUGACCUGCAGGUUGCUAUCAAUGGUCUUGAAGGAAUGGAAUACAUGGAAAGAGUUCCUAUGGCAACAUCUGAAGGCUUCCCACACAUUUUGACAAGGAAAAGUGGGGAAAAAGGCAAAGGUAGGUUUGUAUAUGGGGAUGGAGAAAUUUUUGAUCUGAUCCCGGGUACAUCUGUACAUGAGGCAUAUCUGACACUGGAAGAGACUUGUGCGGACACUGUUCCAGCCCUGGUUGGGAUUGAAUGUCCAAAAGAUGAAAAACUUCCUUUGCGGAAGAUCUAUGAGAAGCCUAAAACAAGAUGUUUCACUGUACUUCCUAUGGAAUAUAAUCUUGUAGUUAGGAGGAAAUUUCUCAAGUUUGUGGUGUUUAUUAUGAAGAAUCGGCACAGAUUAUCCUGCCAGGUGGGCAUCAAUCCAUAUGGCAUGGAAUGGAGUCGCCUGGCAAUGAGCUUGCUUGAGAAAGGAAACAACAUUUUAUGUUGUGAUUACAGUUCAUUUGAUGGGUUGUUGACAAAGCAAGUUAUGCAUCUCAUGAGUGAAAUGAUCAAUGAACUGUGUGGGGGAUCUUCGCGCCUAAAGCAACAGCGCACCAAUUUGUUAAUGGCAUGUUGUUCCAGGUAUGCAUUAUGCAAGGGAGAAGUGUGGCGCGUUGAAUGUGGAAUUCCCUCUGGAUUUCCAUUGACUGUCAUUUGCAACAGCAUUUUCAAUGAGCUAUUGGUUAGAUACAGCUACAUUAAGAUUUGCCAACAAGCGCGUGUGCCAGCCACCAUAACAUACGGUUUUAGUACCUUUGUAAAGAUGGUGACUUAUGGUGAUGAUAACUUACUGAGCGUUCAGUCUGCAAUCACUCACGUGUUUGAUGGAACCAAGCUCAAGGAGUUUCUGAAACUCAAUGGCAUCACCAUCACUGACGGCAAAGACAAAACUUCCCCUGUGCUUAAUUUUCGGAAUUUGGAAGAUUGUGACUUUCUCAAAAGGGGCUUUAAGAAAGAAAGUGAUGUAGUGUGGGUUGGACCAGAGGAAAAGGAAUCGCUGUGGGCACAACUCCAUUAUGUCACGACCAACAAUCUUGAAAAGCAUGAAGCUUAUUUGGUGAACGUUGUAAACGUGAUCAGGGAAUUGUACCUACAUGAUCCAAGAGAGGCUGCUGAGUUGCGUCGCAAGGCAAUACAAAAUGUAGACUUCUUGAAGGAAAAUCCUAAAGAUUUGCCCACUAUGGCUGCUAUCAAGGAGUUCUAUAACAUGCAGCGACAGCAACAAUUUGUAGACUCCAAUGACAAUCUGGAUAGUCUUCUGAAUCCAGAUUUUUUGUUUGUUGCCCCACAUAGAAAGAUGCAUGAGGCCGAGAUGGAAUUAGUGCCAAAGUGGUAUCUGAGAGAUCUUGGCAAAGCUCCAAUAAAUGUUCUAACUGGAGAAGCUGAUCGAAUUUGUGUUCUGGUUAAUGCAAGUAUCCCAGACCAUCUUCUUCCAGAAAAGGUGGUCAAUAUAUCAUGGCCUUAUGGACCCGGAAGGGGAGGACUGCCGACUCAUGGUUGGGCACAGGCUAAUCUCUACAAUCCAAAUAGUGCUGUGGUGAAGAAACUGCGUACACUUGUGAAUCAAAAUCCUGAUGAUCGAGUGGAUAUAUGUUUUAGGCAUGAUGCAGUUCCAGUUGCGAUUGCAACUAUCAUUUUCCUGGUUCAUUUAGGAAAGGUUAAAGGGAGAAGCGCUAAUGAAUAUUUGACUAAAAUAAUUGAUAGUGCAAAAUCUCUGAAGUUCCUACCUAAGGAGUGUGAUAUUAUUUUCUGAGUGUAUUUGAGUUUGUGUGUCUCUUUUCUUACUCUCAGUCUGAAUAACUGGCAUUUUCGCCAAUUUAUAAAAUUAUAAUGUGUGAUUGUUGUGUGUGAUUUCUACAGUACAUGUUAUUACUUUU